rnacentral:ncRNA from 1 species
UCUCUGACGGGGCAAACUACCCGAAAGGGUGGGGCGCAAAACUAAGGGCCUAAGUUCUCGUUCUUAAGGUGAGAAUAUGGUUGCCAGAUGCCUAA